rnacentral:misc_RNA from 1 species
UGUACUCCACACUCUUGGUCUUUAUAACUUUUCUCAGAAUCCCAAGAGGUGCAACGAAAACGCAUAGAGCAAAUAUCAUACAAAUCCAUCCCAAAACUUUGACACGUUCUUCGCCAUGGGUUAGGAACAUAGCUACCAAAAAUAUGAUGCCGAACCCAAAAACAUUGAACCCGAGGACAAGUUUCGUGGUGAGAAUCCUAUCCCUCUUGGAGGCAUAGAAAAAGUAGAUAGCAAUGUAGGCAGUUUCCAUAAAAAAUGUGAAGGAGUUGAUGGUGAUG